CACACUUCCCAGCUGUUGGCUAAGAUCAAGUGCAUCAUCUUUCUUAUCACUUUAAUAUCUGAAACAUCUUCAGCUCGAAGAUUUUAUAUUAAAUGGAUUUGAAGUGCACAGGAAGGAGUAACUGCUUCCUCCAUUCUCUCCAUGCAUCAGCUUGAAACUGCAGUGGCUAUCUGCAGUGGCAGAUACU
rnacentral:snRNA from 1 species